GAUAGCACUCGACUCAGGAUGCCAGAGGCAGCUGCUGGAAGUAUUUCUAUUAUCCAAAUCUAAAUAUAGAUGAGUAUAAGCCAGGUGACUUGACUGUCCAAAGGGGUUAUUAUUAGGGAAAACAGCAACCUGUUGAGAGAGAAGAACAACAUUUGGAAAAAGUGACCAUGCACGGAUGUUCAAGAAACGAAAAAGACUAGAAGCAGAGAAGACCACAACCAUAGCCCAGGAGCAAAAUCAACAGAGCCUGUAUAUGAAUAGUGAGAGGAAAUAGGCGCAACUUUUUUCCUGGAGCCUGACCAUCAUCAGAAUGUCACCUGACCUCUGGGCACUGAAAGCCAACUCUGAGUGCAAACUGGGAGGGCCACCCCUUCCCUCCAACCUACUAGGAAACCCUGCAACCCAAAGCAGGAGAAAGCUUUCCGCUGUCCUGACUCAAAGGAGGCAGAGGGAUAACUUAAGUCUUCCAGGUGGACGUUGCACUUCUGGGCACCUGCGCUGUGCUCAGCAGAACACAGCAUAGCUCAGGGCAAGAAGCAGAGCAGAAAGCCCAGCGGGCCAAGUCAAGAUGCAACAAGACCUGGAGCAGCAGCCACCCACACUCACUGAGCUGGCUUCCUUCUUGAAAUAAUGCCACUUUGCACAUAGGAGUAGUUUUCCUCCUAUUAUUAUAGUGGUAUUCCAGCACACCCACCGCCAAAGAGGCCAGAUAGCAAUGUGUGUGAUGUAACAUAUGUGGCCCCUAUUCAGAGGCAUACUGUGGGAUCCUGAUUCUAGUAAGUCUGCCAUCAACAAUCCCUAAAACUAACAGAAAGAAGACAGGCAGCAAGGGAAGACACAGUGCAUACAAAGGAGCCAUGUUUCUGCUCCAAAGAGAUGCUUUAAAAUUGAACAGGCCUGAAUGUUAAGUCCCAAUGACACUCCCUGCUCGUUUCCUUCUUUGAGCAACAGGUCCUCAAGCUUUACCAUGAGAAGCUUAGAAUAUGGUAAGUUCUCAGUAUCAGUUCUUGGAGCACACACUGUUGGUUGACUACCCAACAUCCAUAUCCUGUUCUUUCCUACCGGAAUCUUGAUUUUGUUUGCCAGGCCUUGGGAGAUUCAUCUUAUUGAUCUAAGCCAAUAACAGCAUAUGGUUCUUUUUCACCAGCGAAUGGUCUGUGGCUCUGCCCUAGUCCUGACCUAUAAGAUCCAAAAGUAAUACAGUACAGGCUCUUGCAGGGAAGUUUUUCUCCUGAAUAAAAGAACCAUCCUACAAGGCUCCUUUGCUCCCCAUUCUCCUUCCUGUUUGAGAACGGUCAUGUGAAGAGGUGAUGCUGGCAGUGAUAACAGCCCAUGAAGAUGUGAUGUAUGGGAGUGAUACAGCCCAUGCUGACAGGUGCUGCCCAAUCCCCACUGGCAGUGCAGAAGGGAAAGCAGGAAAGAGUCCCUGACCUCUGUGACAUCUCUAGGCCCCUGCACCAACUCUGAAACCAAAUGCCCAGACUUCUUGCUACGUGAGAUAAUUAAUGUUUCUGCUGCUUAAUCUCCUUUCAGACCAGUACUCUGUUAUUUGUACCCAAAGGCUUCUUAACUCUUAACAGUCUCCUGCCUUUCCUCAGUCUAGCCACAUUGAUUCAUACUUCCUGACUGCUAAGGGUUAACCAUUGCAUCAGAGGCCAAAGUCACUGCAAUCCCCAAAAGGACUUGGUAAAAAAUUAGCAAGAAAACAGUUUAGCACACAGUGCAAUUUUGGAUUUUAAAACAGCUCCAGUAUCAAGCAUGACUUUUCAUGCCAGAAGCACAAAUUAAAACAAGCAAAUGCAGAGGCAUCUCAAAGGGGAAGAAAACAUACUGCAAGAAGAAUCUAAUUCACUUUUUUGCCAAUAGCUGCUGCUGGGGCUAUAUUUACAUAAACCUACAACAAAGAAAAUAGCACACUUCUAGGAAAACAGGAGACAGAAGUAAGUUCGACAUCCUAGUCUUGACCCUUGUAAUUCAAGGUGGGGUCCAUAAACCAGACCAGCAUUACCUGUGAGGCUUUAAAUGCAGAAUCUUGAGUCCCACGCUAUACCUACUGAAUCAGAAUCUGGAUUGCAGCAAGAUCCCCAGCUGACUGAAUGCACAUCGAAGAAGAGAAGCACUACUCUAGAUUACUGUCCUCCUAGCAGGCACUGUGGCAUGAUUCAGUGGGACUGGAAGAUCUCAAUGCACAGCCAACUCCACAGGUUCCUCUUUCACCUCUCAGAUGAAGAGAACCAUGGCAGUUGAGAAAGAGUAGCAGGAAAAAAGUAUUUAUGUGUGCAUAUUCAUGUAUCUUAUGACACAGUUAGUCCAAGGGCAAUUCUAAAAACAUAAGUCAUAUCCUACACAGAUCUAACCCAGCGAUUCUCAACUGUGUCUCAUAUGUGCAGUAGAAUAAAUUCAUACACAUGGCA